AGAGAACAUCUGUGCUGGAAGCAGGAAACGUCUAAUCCAAGAGCGCUGUCCAAUCUAUUAUUAGAGAGGAAGGGAAGGCAGUUAAUUAUUCCACUGAAGUCUUGAAACCCCCAACAUUAUCUGUGAAGGCUGGAUUCAACUUCUUCCAAACUCUGGUUAACAUGGAUGUUUAGAUCUCCUCCCAUGAAUCACAAAUGUUCUUAAUGACACCUAGAAUGGCAUAUUUUCUUCUAAAGAAUUCCACAAAAAUCAUGUUGACUGAAUCCUUC